UAAAUUUCUCUUUAUCUGAAUGAAGGUGUUAGCUUAAAUGGGCCAGCAUCCUGCCAUGUGGCAGGAGGCCAGUUUGGGUCGAGUCACGUUUGAAAUCGCGUGAGGCUAGAUAAGCCGAGUCAUGUUCGAAGUGGCGUGAAGGCCGGGUGGGUCGAGUCACAAUUAAGACCCGCGGGCGCUGUAUCUGUACACUUUAAGUGAAUUAGUUGCGUAUUUUUAACAGCUUGAGCUUUUGGGAUUAACAGUUAGCACCAACGGGUUCGAUUCUCGCAUACUGCAAUGUGUCCAAGUGCUGGAGGAAAAAUUGUUGGCUUAAAUGGGCCAGCAUCCUGCUCUGUGGCGGGAGGCCAGGUUGGGCCAAGUCAUGUUCGAAGUGGCGUGAAGGCCGGGUGGGCUGAGUUACAAUUGACCGGGUUUGAUACCCGCAUACUGCAAUGUGUGCAGGUGCUGGAGGGAAAAUUGUUGGCUUAAAUGGGCCAGCAUCCUACUCUGUAGCGGGAGGCCAGCUUGAGCCAAGUCAUGUUCGAAAUGACGUGAAGGUCGGGUGGGCUGAGUUACAAUUGACCGGGUUCGAUACCCGCAUACUGCAAUGUGUGCAGGUGCUGGAGGAAAAAUUGUUGGCUUAAAUGGGCCAGCAUCCUGCUCUGUAGCGGGAGGCCAGGUUGGGCCGAGUCAUGUUCGAAGCGACGUGAAGGCCGGGUGGGCCGAGUCAUAAUUGAGACCUAUGAGCGUUGUAUCUGUACCCUUUAAGUGAAGUGAUUGCGUAUUUCUAACAGCUCGAGCUUUUGAGAUUAAUGGCCAGUACCAACAAUCCGACGGAAGGAACUUUUUUUUUAAAUAAAUAAACCUAGGACUUUUUUCUUUUUUUUUUUUGAAAGAAAACUUAGGACUUAGAUAAGAAAAU
rnacentral:lncRNA from 1 species